rnacentral:rRNA from 1 species
GACGAACCGUGCGAACGUUGUUCGGAAUCACUGGGCUUAAAGGGCGCGUAGGCGGGCUGUCGCGUCUGGGGUGAAAUCCUCCGGCUCAACCGGGGAAGGGCCUCGGGUACGGACGGCCUCGAGGGGGGUAGGGGCGUGCGGAACUGUGGGUGGAGCGGUGAAAUGCGUUGAUAUCCACAGGAACUCCGGUGGCGAAGGCGGCACGCUGGACCCUCUCUGACGCUGAGGAGCGAAAGCGUGGGGAGCAAACAGG